rnacentral:lncRNA from 1 species
GCUGGCGGACGCGGAGGUGGCUGGGCCGUGUCUCCGGCGGGCGGCCUCGGCGGGCCCGGCCGGGCCUUCGUCGGGGGCUGGAUUCGUCGCCGCUCGAGCCGCGCGUCACCCGCUGAGUCCACAGCAGGACUAAACUGCAACCACGAAGAACUCAUUCCUGUGCGUUUCGCAACUCCUCUCUCCGCGUGUCUGAAAAUGCAGCUUGGCCUAGGGAUGGCAGCGGCGAAUUCCUCACGUGUGAAUCAGAGCCUGAGUCCGCACACUUCGGAUCUGGAAAUAGGAGUCCUGGGUGGGAAUCGGUGCUUUGUCACCGGCUCUCAGCUUUUGGGCAAGUUACCCAAUCGUCCCAGAGCCUUAAUUUCUCUGUAAAAGGGGUUGAAUGAUCUCCCUGCCUCCCAGAGCAGUGGUUCAAUGGCGUGAUGAUGUCAAAUGUUACUAGUCGCUGUUGAAGCCUGCCUGGCCCUCUGCCAGGUGCUGUGUAUGGAUUAUCUAAGUAAAUCCUUCCUUAGGCCAACCCCCCCAGAAGUAGGUACUGUUAUUUUCUCUAUUUUGUAAGUGAGGAACUUGAGGAUUAGAAAUGUUAAGUAAUUAGCCCCAAACCACCCAUUGGCAAGUGGUGAGGCUGGCACCUUGGGCCUCUCCGAUUCCAGAAACCCAAUAUGUGAAGCACUGUGACAACUUAACAAAAGCAAGUGCUUAUGUGGGCCAGGCCUGAACUUUAGGGGAGAAGAGUAGCAGGUGGAGGGAAAAGAUGGUGGUAGGGUUUGGGGCAAGCGCUGAACAUUACAGAACAGUACUAGGGACCAUCAGAUCUUAACAGUGACCAAAGAAUUGGUGCUAUUUAGACCAGGGAUUGGAAACUAUGACUGUUGGCUGAAUCAGGCCAGUUGCCUUCCUUUUAGCUAAAGUUUUGUGGAAACAGUCACUCUCAUUUAUUGGUUGCUUUAGGGCAGCAGAAGGCAGAGAGAUGAGUACUCUCAGCGGAGACCACUUGGCCCCCAAAGCCUAAAAUAUUUACUAACAGACUCUAUGGGAAAUGUUUGCUGACCCUUAAUGAUACAGAUUGUGUUUUCUCAUUUAUGUUAGAAAUCAGAUGUUAGAAACACACACCUCUAAUUCAUGGACUACCUAAGAGAUAUAAUGGCAAGCAGAAGAUACUUAGAGCUGGGUAAUAAAAUGUAUUAAGACUUUUGAGAUACA